rnacentral:rRNA from 1 species
AAGACUGACGCUCAGGUGCGAAAGCGUGGGGGAGCAAACAGGAUUAGAUACCUGGUAGUCACGCUGUAAACGAUGUCGACUUGGAGGGUUGUGCCCCUGAGGCGUGGCUUCCGGAGCUAACGCGUUAAGUCGACCGCCUGGGGAGUACGGCCGCAAGGUUAAAACUCAAAUGAAUUGACGGGGGCCCGCACAAGCGGUGGAGCAUGUGGUUUAAUUCGAUGCAACGCGAAGAACCUUACCUACUCUUGACAUCCAGAGAAUUCGCUAGAGAUAGCUUAGUGCCUUCGGGAACUCUGAGACAGGUGCUGCAUGGCUGUCGUCAGCUCGUGUUGUGAAAUGUUGGGUUAAGUCCCGCAACGAGCGCAACCCUUAUCCUUUGUUGCCAGCACGUAAUGGUGGGAACUCAAAGGAGACUGCCGGUGAUAAACCGGAGGAAGGUGGGGAUGACGUCAAGUCAUCAUGGCCCUUACGAGUAGGGCUACACACGUGCUACAAUGGCGUAUACAAAGAGAAGCGAACUCGCGAGAGCAAGCGGACCUCAUAAAGUACGUCGUAGUCCGGAUCGGAGUCUGCAACUCGACUCCGUGAAGUCGGAAUCGCUAGUAAUCGUAGAUCAGAAUGCUACGGUGAAUACGUUCCCGGGCCUUGUACACACCGCCCGUCACACCAUGGGAGUGGGUUGCAAAAGAAGUAGGUAGCUUAAC